CUUCCAGUGUGAGAAGUUAACGAGUUGGCAUUUCCAUGAGACAUCGAGAUGGUGGGAGGAAAUCCUUUAAAUCAACAUGCUAUGAAGAAAAUGAAAAAUGGAUUGGUGAUGGCUAGAAGACCAGUGACGUUGACUGCCGAACACCGCCCGAACAAGGAGAGUACUACUACUACCCCCCCCCCCGGGGACGCCAGGCGAUCCGGACGGAGACGGUGGAACUCCCGCAGCCUUGAAGGGUCCACCACGUCCCCCACCGGAACCCAGCAUCUCUCCUCUGGACCAUACCCCUCCCAGCCCACUCCCUUGGCUGAGAAGCAACCACACACAUGAAUGGGCUCAGGAUGCUUUACUGUUGGCAUGACACAGGACUGAUGGUAGCGCUCUCCUUGUCUUCUCCGGACAAGAUUUUUUUCCAGAUGCACCAAACAAUCGGAAAGGGGAUUCAGAGAAAAUGACUUUACCCCAGUCCUCAGCAGUCCAAUCCCUGUACAUUUAGCAGAAUAUCAGUCUGUCCCUGAUGUUUUUCCUGGAGAGAAGUGGCUUCUUUGCUGCCCUUCUUGACAUCCGGCCAUCCUCCAAAAGUCUUUGCCUCACUGUGCGUGCAGAUGCACUCACACCUGCCUGCUGCCAUUCCUGAGAAAGCUCUAUACUGGUGGUGCCCCGAUCCCUCAGCUGAAUCAACUUUAAGAGACGGUACUGGCACUUGCUGGACUUUCUUGGGCACCCUGAAGCCUUCUUCACAACAAUUGAACCGCUCUCCUUGAAGUUCUUGAUGAUCCGAUAAAUGGUUGAUUUAGGUGCAAUCUUUCUGGCAGCAAUAUCCUUGCCUGUGAAGCCCUUUUUGUGCACAGCAAUGAUGACGGCAUGUGUUUCCUUGCAGGUAACCAUGAUUGACAGAGGAAGAACAAUGAUUCCAAGCACCACCCUCCUUUUGAAGCUUCCAGUCUGUUAUUCAAACUCAAUAAGCAUGACAGUGUGAUCUCCAGCUUUGUCCUCGUCAACACUCACACCUGUGUUAACGAGAGAAUUACUGACAUGUCAGCUGGUCCUUUUGUGGACCUUUUUACUGACUGAUUGAGGACCUUUUUACUGACUGUGUUUUUUUUUUAUGACCCUGUUUUUCUUUGCAUUUUGCAAAAUGCUUCGAUUUUGUAUUUAUAUUUCGAUGUGUGCAUUUUCUGAUAUCUGUAAAAUAUACCUUGGUCUCAGUAAGACUCCCUGUUAAAAUAAAGGCAAAAUAAAAUAAA